CCUACGGGUGGCAGCAGUGGUGAAUAUUGCACAAUGGGCGCAAGCCUGAUGCAGCCAUGCCGCGUGUGUGAAGAAGGCCUUCGGGUUGUAAAGCACUUUCAGCGGGGAGGAAGGCGGUGAGGUUAAUAACCUCAUCGAUUGACGUUACCCGCAGAAGAAGCACCGGCUAACUCCGUGCCAGCAGCCGCGGUAAUACGGAGGGUGCAAGCGUUAAUCGGAAUUACUGGGCGUAAAGCGCACGCAGGCGGUCUGUCAAGUCGGAUGUGAAAUCCCCGGGCUCAACCUGGGAACUGCAUUCGAAACUGGCAGGCUAGAGUCUUGUAGAGGGGGGUAGAAUUCCAGGUGUAGCGGUGAAAUGCGUAGAGAUCUGGAGGAAUACCGGUGGCGAAGGCGGCCCCCUGGACAAAGACUGACGCUCAGGUGCGAAAGCGUGGGGAGCAAACAGGAUUAGAUACCCUUGUAGUC
rnacentral:rRNA from 1 species